rnacentral:misc_RNA from 1 species
UACAAUGUAUUCCAUACGGAAUACAUAUACUAAAAUUGGAACGAUACAGAGAAGAUUAGCAUGGCCCCUGCGCAAGGAUGACACGCAAAAUCGUGAAGCGUUCCACAUUUUUUUGAUUUUUUUACAACCGAUUUUCACCCAACAUGCAAGUCAGAUCCAACACAGUAACAUACAACAUGAAUGCGGACAAUCAAAGCGUACAGAAAACAGUCUGACGAGGUGGCGAAGAAUGUAUUAAGAAUAGUCAUAGGACAGGAGUAAAAAAGAGGUGAUAGAAGAGAUAAAGGCGAGGCUAAACAACAACCCUUAUAAAGUGAGACAAAAACCAGUAAAAACAAAAAUCGCGAAAAUGGUCAAAAGGCGGGAAAAGAACAAAAGGGGGAUGUCGACGUCUGCCAUUGCAUUUUUCUUUCUGCAGUCAUCCAAACAGCCACGUGUGAGUGCUCAGUCAGGGAUUGCGCGCCCAUUGCUGUAGACCUGUAGUUCUUCUCAUAUAGAGGAGUAUGUGUGACGAUGAGUGCGUCCAUCGCAAAAUGUUUUCUGGUGCUGUGCAAUAUAAUGGAAGUUUUGACUGCAGCUUUACAUGUGAGCUAUUGACAGUAGAAAGUUUUCUUGUUCGUCAUUAAAUUAAUUAAUUUAAUAGAACAAUCUGUGACUGCAUGACAAAGUGGGUGGUUUGGACAAUGCAUAUGGGAAAUAAGGUGAAAUAUGAUGGUACUGUCUUGGGAGACAAUCAAAUGGCAUAAUAGCUUUGUGUCCAACCAACAUUGCUUAUCUAUCACUAGCUUUGAUAACUGACCCAUGGAAUCCACCCUGUUUUUAUAAGCUGAUUCAUAUCAGUUAUAGAUAGCUGUUUUGUUUUGUUCGUUUGGUAAGCUUGAAACAUUUAAUGGUUUUCCUAGACGCUUGGUGGUUAGAUUUGUCGUACACUAUACUAACGGAAAAAGGUUUUCAAGCGUGUUCCGCAUAUUCUCUGACUCAACAUCGAAUAGAGAAAUGUAAGUCUUUCUUAACUAAGUUAUAACUAGCACAAAUAGCAAAAGUGUGGUGAACUUGAUUCACAACUAUGGCUGUGGUGUACCAGUUUUCCCUCAUGGACCGUUUUGAUUGCAUCAGGCAUGUUCCGUCCAAGAAUAUUUGUCAUGAAACUUGUUGUUUGCGUUAAAGCCUCGCAGACGAGAUAACAAACCUUUUUAGCCCAGAAGCCAAUCCAUUUUAGUUCAAUGUCAUUUCAGCAAGAUAGCAGACGCAGCCGAGUAAGGAGAGGCUGUUGCAUGCCCAGCAGCUGGAACAGCAUUUUCAAACAGAACAAUUUGUGCAUUAAAGAGUUGAACAGCAACGCCUUGAGUUUCCUACACUCUUUUGCGUGGAUGAUACCUUUUUCGAUUAUGAUUAAGUGAAAAUUAGUUUAAAAAUAUUUGUUUAACGUUUUUAAUCCAUCAUACAGUGUAUACUGCGACAUAGUGGAGCGCUGUGAUAGUGUUUCCUCCGUAUUCAGAUGGACGGUGGAAAAUUUCAAUGACGCAAGCGGAUAUAUGACCUUUCCGUUGAAAAAGAGAUACCAUCUCAUUGGCGCUCGCUAACGUUGGUGUUUACUAAGUCUGUGAAAGACUGAAAGACAUAAAGCAGAUGGCGAAUGAAGGCCGUCUGGCAAUAGCUUUGCUGUGAAUAGCUGACCCACAUCGAAUGUAUUCCAUUUUCGUUAGCUGAUCGAGGUGCAGGAACAGCGUUGUCUAUCUGAAUGUUGAGUUAUUCUAGCCAUUAAUUAGGCAUUUGUCGGCCACACACCAAUCAAGCAGUCCAUGUGCCAGUGAAAGUAUCGUACCCGUCGGUUAUAAUCACACACGCCAAACAACUACACACUGUGAUAAAAAUGGAUGGUGAGGAAAGGAGCCGUGGCUCUUUAAACGCUGUGCCCGCCACAUCAUCCCGUCGGUACGAACCAUCAGAAGAUAUUUUUCCAGAGAUGCUCAGCUGGAUUCAGGAUGCAAAUACUGACCAGAAACUGGCUGAGAAUGCAGUCAGUCAUAUCAGUUCAAAGUUGGAACGGGCACUUAAUCCUUUAGAGACGACGGGCGUCGAAUCGCAAUACGUCAAGGCCGUCUUGACAACGUGGGCAGAGGCCAGUUUAAAAAGCGCAUUUAAUUACUUGGAGGAUGAAAGAACUGACCUUUGCAAAGAAAUGCCUAACAUCUUAGACGAACUGGAUUCCGUCAAUUCCGUCGAAGAUAUCGACGCCAAACUAAAUAAAGAAACAUCACAGCUUUGGACCUGGUUUGACGGAGGCCGCCUUUAUAUUCAACUGAUACUCGAACAGGAAAACUUGUUCAAAAAUACGCCCCGAUUCGCCAUUCUUUUAAACCACUAUUUUAAUAAUGUGAAGAGAUGCUUCAUCAAUAAGGCCUUUGCCCGUUGCAAGGAUGACAUCAUCAACGACGGACUGAAUGGUUCAUCACUGAAAGAAUUCAUUUCAGCACUAACUGAUUUUUUGACCAACGCCAAUGAAGACAAAGAUUUACAAGAUGUUGUGAAGAAUCAUAUGCGUGAAAGCAAUGUAACAACAAGAAGUCGAAAGACAGAUGGGCAGGUCAUCAAAGACGGUCUGAAGGGUCUGUUGACGGAAGAAAACAUCUCGGAUGAAUUCGAUGAAAUGUUUAAAGAUUUUUUACAAGACGAAAGCAAUAUAGCGACGGGUAGCCAAGAAACAGACGGGCAAAAAUGCAAUGGAAUGAAAGAAUGGGUCAAAAAGCUUAUAGAAAUUGUGAGAAACGCGCUGCCUUCAAGUGACAGCAAAGAAAGUUUAAUCCCUGAAUGGCUACUGGGAUUUGAAUCAGCGUCAUCAGAAAUAAAAGAGUGGACCACAAAACUAGAAUUACUGAUCAGAGAGACAUGCGCGAAACUCAUGCUGCCUGAAACCGUAAUCGAAGUGAAACAACAGUAUGGAAGACAAGUCAUGUUCAUCAGUGGCGUUGCCGUUUUUGUUAGCAAAGAAUUGGAGAAAAUGAAAUCAAAAAAGAGAGACGUGGGAGAAAUACAAAUUGUCGGACAAACGUCCGUUCACAUCGACUGUGACUUGGAAAAUGAAAUUUGGCACGGCUUCAACGUGGGCAUCGUUACCGACAAACUUGUCGUUUGGGCAGAUGAUAAGGGCGAGAAUCGAAUAUGGGACGUAUCUGGAAGAUGUCCACGUUUCAAAUCAAGAAGAGAUUGGCAAGAUGCUGGCGAAAGUGGGGGUAAUGUUCAUAUUAAAUGCAAUGAAAUAAUCGGAGCUGACCGAUGGACGAUCGCAUCCAAUGGAGGAGACGGGGUUUCUGCUCUCAAGUGGUCUGAGAAAGAAUUUAAAAGAGUUUUCAGUCCCAUAUUGCCACCGGAUACGGAUAUGAAAAAGAUAGAGGAGACGAGCAACAAGUUUCCGGCCGAUCGGAAAUAAAUGAUCUCUAUACAAAACUGGAGACAAAUAUGAGGAAAGAGUUCGGCAGUGAGGUGUCAAUCGAUUUUUCUACAAGGUCCACGAGGUUAAACGACGGCAGCAAAAUAACGUAUUCACUGUAUAAAAAUAAGAAGAAGAAACGACACACACUCAUUUUAUGCAAAGGAGCGGGUGUCGGACAAGGUGGCUACGGCGGAGACAUCAUCUUGGAAUUGUCGAAUAAAGAGCGUGGCGUCCCUCCCACUGGCAUGGAAAUGUACCAAGCAUUGGACUCGACAGGGGUUGUCUACAAGGCCACUGGUUCAGACGGCAAAAUGGAGCAAGCCAAUGGCGAUGUUGGUUUUAUUCACAAUGAAGAGAAAACCUCAAAAGGAAGUUACGUUGGAUUUGAAAUCGGCCAAAGUCUAAGAAUUCAAUGCCACAAGAAAGAAGAGUUUAAAAAAGAUGAGGUUGCUUCGUAUGUUAGGUUUGAUGCUGGUAUUGUUUUAGGAGAUCGAUUUUAUGCAACAAUAGUCGAUGUACCAGAUGCUGUGCAGCAAGAAGAACAGGAUUCUCUUUCACCGAUGGUAGCGAAGAAGAAAAAUGCCGUAAUUCGUCAGAGCCUCGUCGUUCAGUUGACAAAUAUAAAUGAGAGGAAGCAAAUAUUGGAAUCGCUCCGCAAAACGUUGAUGUCUGAUCUGUUGGAAGAAAAUCAGUCGCAAAAUGUCGACCAAUUGAUUGAAGAAAUUCGAAAUAAUGCGAUCCAAUUCGGUGAGCAAGUGGACCAGCAAUUGAAUCAAGAGAAGGUGGCACAUACCAAACCAGCACCUGUCGUCAGAAGCCGUGCAGCCCACGAAACAAAAGGUGAAGGGCCGAUCAACCUCCAGCUGGAGGAAGACGAAGAGAAAGGGCGGAGCAACCUCAAGCAUUAUGAUAAGCUAGAGGGUCACGAAAAGGAAGUGAAAAAGCUUUUCAAUCGGAUUGAAGAUAAAAGGAAGUCAGCGCUGAAAGCUAAUACAAAAAAAUGGACAGCAGAACGUAAAUUGAGAAAUUUAGAACCAAUAAAUGUCGCAUCGCUAGCCGAAUAUUUCUAUGACUUCGAGUGCGUAUUACAGCACCUUCGUAAUGACAACACCUUCCAACUUCGUAACUACCAGAUUGAGGCAAUACUACAACUGAUCAUCGCCACCAGGGAAGAAAGCGAGAGAAGAUUAGCUGAAAUAUCGACUGGCGCAGGCAAGUCGCUGAUUGUGGCAGCAUCAGCAAUUGCUCUUACGCGUGGCCGUGGCUUCUUUGCCGUGCACGUGAUAACCAGUAACGACUUGUUAGCAAUCCGUGACUCUAAUCUUUCAGUCGCAGAAGGAGGAUUGAAAGAUCUCUACGAAUAUUUCGGGGUGUCGGUGGCAAACAACUGCAGUCAAUCUGAAGACGAUCGCAAAGUAAGUUACACUGCGACUGCGAGAGUUGUUUACGGACAAUUGGCUAAUUUCCAGCGUGAUUUUUUACUGGACAAUUUCUACGGUCGUAACAUUCGUGGUAGUCCACACAUGACAACCAAAGUUGUCAUUAUUGACGAAGUGGAUUGCAUGUUGCUGGACCAAGGCAACAACACGCUUUACUUAUCACACGGCAUUCCCGGUAUGGAAUCUUUAGAAUCUUUGUACGUUUUCAUUUGGGAUGAAAUAUGCAACUCUCCCAUUAAUAAGACCAUCCCGGACUAUCGAGAACAAGUGAAGAAAUCCAUCAAAUCUAACGUGUUAUUUGACCUAUACGGCGUCAUAACUAAAGACGAUUUGAAAUGUUUUGUUCACGUGCCAUUAAACGAUUUGGAAAAAGAUGCGCUGUGGGAUCAUUUAAUCAAGAAUAAAGUGAUUGACCAAAAUGGACGUCUACUAAUCGAUGAUGCCAACCAAAUGACAGAAGAAAAGAUCAACUAUACACCUAAGAAUGCGGCCAAAGAAACAAAUCUUAAUGCAAAAUUGGUUUUCUAUUUACGCAAAGUUGCUAAUCGCCAACGUCAAAUUCGAAUACCUGCCCAUCUACUCGACUUUGUUGACCGGCACUUGGACACUUGGCUGGAAAGCGCUUUUCAGGCCCUGGAUCUACGGCCCGACGAGGACUACGUCAUUGAUCAAGAUCGAACAGACACCAGUCCUGAUCUCAAUCCGCAAGUGAUUAUUAUUGAUCCCGAUACUGGAACGGAUCAAAAUUUGUCUCAAUGGGACGAAGCCUUGCACCAGUUCGUUCAGCUGAAGGAAGGAUGUAAAUUGACGCUGCAAACUCUCAAAGCUGUUUUCAUUUCAAAUGCCACGUACAUCAAUCAAUAUCCUUACAUUUAUGGUCUUUCGGGAACGCUGGGAUCCGAACAAGAAAAACAUUUUUUACAGGAUACGUUCAAGUCCACUUUCUACUACAAUCAUACGCACAUACCUAGACUUUUUGAACAAAAACUAGCCAAAGUCCUGUCGACCGAAAAUGAAUGGCUAGAUGCCAUCAUCAUUGAAACCGAAACUAUAAUGAAGGAAGGACGUUCAAUCAUCAUUUUUUGCAUGUCCAUCAAAAAUGUCAAUCUCGUCCAUCAACGUUUAAUGAAUUCCUUUCCUGAUCUGGUAAAAAAAAAUCACCUUCAUCGCUACACGCGCGAUUAUGUGAAAUUUGCAUUCGAAAGAACAGAGCUGGACAUUGAGCAUGUUAUCGUUGCCACCAACUUGGCUGGACGAGGAACGGACAUAAAAAUCAGCCAAAAACUACGUGACAAUGGAGGAUUGCAUGUGUGUCUCAGUUAUUUCCCCGAGACUAAACGAAUAGAGGAACAAGCGAUGGGCCGUGCAGCUCGCAAUGGAGCACCUGGAAGUGGAAUCCUCAUUGCAUGCAAACCAAGUUCGUCCGAACGUUUGGCGCCUGACGAAAGGGAACCGAUAGAAAUAAUGAAAAAUGAGCGUGAAAUUCGAGAGAAACAACGCAUCGCUCGGAUGAAGGAAGAUUUUAAGUUUAUGAAAGAUCAGAUGGAAUUAAUUGAUCCGUUUUCAAAAUAUUAUACCAACCUCAAAGAACAACGGCGGAAGAAAAAGGACGGUGAUCAGAUAGUGAGUGCCAUCUGUGGAAGCGUGUUGGAUCAAUGGGCUUUGUGGCUGGACAAAAUGAACGAUUCCUCAUUAGAUGUGAAAAAAUAUUCAUAUUCAGAAAAAUUCAUCCCAAAAUUGAAAGCCGUCGAGCAAGACAAUUUGGAUAUCAGCCAAGUCGAGUGGAUGACACCAGCCCGCUUAGUUGUUGUUGCCAGACAUUUGGCUACGCGUCAUAAAAAGCCGGACCUCCCAAAGGCAGUCGAAAUUUUGGAAGAACUCAUCCAAUCGAAAGAUCGUCAUUUUUAUCCUGCCGCUUUCUACUAUCGCGCAUUCAUUCUCCUAAAGGAAAACUACGAAACCAACAAAAAUGAAUUCAUUAAACUAUUGCGUACGUGUGAAAACGUGUUGAGCGAGCACAUCAACUUGCAUUUUUCCAUCGUCCAAAAAAUGGGCAGAAAAACUAAUCAGCCGCCUUUGUUUUGUGUAGUCGACGGCUACACGCAGCAAAAAGAGAACGUGAUUAACCUGUUUCAGUAUUUCCUUGGCUCGGUUCGUUCAUUGCUGGGCACUGAUUGCUCCAUCGAAGACUUUGAAGCAGCAGGAGAGUUGCCAAAAGAAAUGAAGGGAUUUUUAAAAAAAAAUCUAAAUAACUUUGAAAAAUGGAUUCAACGAGAAAUUCAUGAAAACUUCAAAGUUUUCCAGGAAAAAGACGUAAAGAACAAAGACCCAAAGAAUUUAACAAUUCCAGCUGAAAAAGUGGAGGAAUACUUCAAGUUAUUGUUGGAGGGCGAGUCCAAAUGUAUUGGUCAUCAGCUGAAUGAAGCCAGCACCAUACCAAGUUGGAACUCUUCCUUCGAACGAUACGCAAAAUUAAAUCGAGAGCUGGCGAUUCAACGAGUAGCAAAUGCCUAUGGUGUCUGUGCAUUGACUUUAGAAACAUCGCUAAGGCAAGCGAUACAAAAAGAACUUUGCAGAGAGGAUAUUGAAAAAGAAAUUGAACGCGAAAUGGAAGAGAAAUUUAAAAAAGACAAUCUAAUUCCUUGCACGAGGGAGUCGUUUUGGGCGAAAUUAGUUGAAAGUGGAGCGUUGUAUAACAACCAAAAUUUCGUCGCCGUGGAUGAGGGCAACGUUGACACAUUCAACUUAAACCGCGAGGAAGCCAAAACAUUUCACUUUGAAGACAAAGAUUACGUCCUCUACAAUCCCAUUGAUGUUAACAGCAAGAACGGAGGAGAAAAGAAAAUCUUUUUCACUCAAAAGUACGUUGAAGACACUCUUUAUGGUAAUCGUAUGAACAACACAAGUCGAGAUCAAAUACAGUUCAACAAGAUCGCCAAAGUUGAUGUAAAUAAACUCAAAUCAGUUGAUUUAAGGCUAUUUGGUCAGUUGAAAGACGAUCAUUUACGUGAGGCUGACAUCAUUCAGGCUGAACGUCAAGGAAUUCUGGACGAGUUGAAAAUGCAAGACAUCAUUGACGACGACGGUAAUCUCUCAUCCAACUACAAUGGCCAAAAAUUUCAAUACCCAAACUGUCGUGCUUAUGAAAAAACUGUCAUGUGUUUAUUGGCGACGAAAUUACGCGCUGAAAUAGUUAGACGACGGUGGCUGAAUAGCAAAGACAAUUCAGAUCGCCUCGAAGCCAUCAAUUUGCUUCCUUUGACAACUUAUCGAGAUAUGCUGGAUGACUUGAUUGACGCCUACGUCAUCAGUGGCGGGUUCCGGGUGAAGACCAUUGACGAAAAUGUCCUAAAAAGUAAAGUGAAUGGAAUCACCGAAAAAGAUGAGGAGCGCGAGUGUAUUUUGGAUUUCUUGAAAAGUCGGCAAGCAAUUUACGACGCAACUUGGUUGGCAAGUCAAGAGGCAGCGCUCGAUUUUAUCGACGGCGACAUCCGCAAGGUAAAAGCCAACACCUUCGAAAGCGAAUUGUGCCUUUUUCGUUCGAUUGGAUUCGAUCAUGUCAUUUACAUGAAGGAUCGCCAAAUGUCCAGGAAACAGAUGGUCUUGUCAUCGCUGUUUACACCGCUCAUUGUCAUCGGUGGAGUUGCCUCGAUUAGUGCUGGAGCUGUCUUGACUAUCUUUAGUAAAAUCUUGCCGUUGCGUGUCACGAAAGAUUUGCUUCUCAUGGGUGGUCUCUCUGACAUCAUCUUCGUCAUUACUUCUGCUUUAUCAAAUGACCCAAUCAGAUGUCCUGAUUAUGCGCGCCAGAGGAUCAGGGGCGCAUUAGGAAAAUCGAAUCUAGUAGACCAAGUCAAAACUCUGUGGAAGUUAUCGACACCUGGAAAACUUGCUGGUAAUAACUUUAGACCUGCUGUUCGAUUGCAAAUGGACACUUUUCAGCAACGGCGAGUAAGAGAGAAGAAUCACGAAGCGGAUCAACGAGAGAUUGUCAACGCGUUACUUCGGCUCGAGAAAAAAUCGACACAUCCAAGUGAAGAAGAUGAUGGCGACCUCGCCCAGGAAACGUAGAACUUGCCUUCGCUUUAAAACCAUAUUAGCAGGAAGAGUGAUGGAAGUUGGAAUGAACUGACCUAGGACUUCUACAUUACAAAUUUCUAUUGCAGGUUAAAUGCAAUAUCAUUUUAAUUUAGAAUGGGCCGAAAACUAAGGUAACAGGUAUAGAAAUAGCAUUUUAAAAAAAGGUAUUUGAUGUUAUCAAAUCCAAUAGAGCUUGUGUUAAUCAUUUUAGAAAUGGCGAAAUAGAUGAAUUAAACUAAUCAAAUUACGAGGGAAAUGUUUCAGUUUUUACAGGGCUUCUAAUACGUGGCCUGUUGCGCCAGAAGUAAACAAGUGCUGGGCCAUUAGAUUUCGGAAAUUUAUUUCAGUUACAACUCUUUGCUAAUUGUAGUCAGAAUUGGUACAAUAUUGAAAUAUAGAAUUGCAUUGUAAAGCCAAAGCAAGAAACGCGGCUGCCUUAUGACAUUGGACGCUGCAAGAGAUUGGCAAUCGAAAGAGUUGGGUAAUGUCGAUAUCUUGCGUGAGACAUUUGGGCAUUGGGAACGAUUGCGUGGAAUAAUUUAAUUCCGUGCCUGAUGCAGACACAAGUCGCUCCCCAGUUAUCAACAUGCAG